rnacentral:lncRNA from 10 species
UACCAGAAUUCAAUAAAGAGAAUAUUAACACAGUAUUACUGUAAUACUUCAGCAUUACAGUAGUAAAAAUCCACAAAUGGAAUUCACACCAGGCACAUGGUUAGGCACAGUGGAAUAUUAUGCAGCCAUUACAAAUAUUUACAAGGAAUUUUAAAUUACAUCAAAAAUAUUAUUUAACAUUCAUUGAUACAGGUGUUCAAAGGGGCAUAUAGGAUAAGAAGGCAAGUACGUUAGAAAUAUACAUACAUAGGCCGGGCGCAGUGGCUCACGCCUGUAAUCCCAGCACUUUGGGAGGCUGAGGUGGGCAGAUCACGAGGUAAGGAGAUUGAGACCAUCCUGGCUAACAUGGUGAAACCCCGUCUCUACUAAAAAUAAAAAAAAAAUAAAAAAAUAAAAAUUAGCCGGGCAUGGUGGCGGGCGACUGUAGUCAAAGCUACUCGGGAGGCUGAGGCAGGAGAAUGGCUUGAACCCAGGAGGCAGAGCUUGCAGUGAACCAAGAUCGCGCUACUGCACUCCAGCCCGGGCGACAGUGCGAGACUCCAUCUCAAAAAAAAAAAAAAGAAAAAAAGAAAAAAAUAUAUGUGUACCUACAUAGCAUUAAAACAAUUGCAGGAAAGACACCAAAUCUGUUACCAGCAGUUUUCUGGGUUGUGAAAUUUGUAGUUUUUAUUUCAUUAUAUUUUCUGGGUUUUUCUAGGUUUUCAGCAACAAAUACUGACAAAAGGAAAUGAACAGUUUUCAGAGACUUACUUUAAAACAGAGUUAAAGGAAUACACAUGAAAUUGGUAACAGUGGCUGCCUCUGGGGUCGGCAUAGGAGCAGGAGUUGGACCAUCUCCUCCCUGGGCAUUUUUCCCUGCAGUAGGGGUGGGCAGGCUGUGGGAGGGGCUGCAGUGGACACUGGGCCUCUGAGCUGGGACCACCUGUGUCCCCUGGGCCUGACACAGACCAGGACCUGAUGCACGAGUAAGAAUGAAUGGGGCCCAAUCGCCUAACAAAGGCAACUCAAUUUCAGCCCCGAUUGUUCCAGAAGGAUUUGCUGUAAGCAACCGGAGAAGUUGGCAUUUGUUCAACAUGGAAAAAGUGUCCCCCAACUUUGAAGCACUGAACCAAACAUCUUUGUUGAGGUUUCAUUCUCACGAUAUCUGCAAAUCAACGUUUUUUCCUUCACACUAAAAACGGGCAACUUUAGAGCCCACUAAAGCUAUACAAAAUUGGGAGGGGGCAUGCUCUGAUUUUCCAUUUUUAGUUCCAGGGUCCGUAUGCAGGACUUAUUUGCAGGAAGAGCAGGAAUGAUCAGUUCAACAAGAAAAGCCACACUCAGUUUUCACAGACAGACAACCCCUCCUUCCCACCCCUGCCCUGUCCCCCAUCAACUUAAGUGGCAUAUAAAUGAUUAAAGUGGCUUCAUUAACUCCAGGAGUGUGGCCUGUGCUAGGGCACCUGAUUUGUGCUAGACGAGGCCAGCAGAAGAGCAAUCGCUCUGCAAGAGAAAGGCUCGGCCCUUCCUUAAUCACCAUGGGUUAUAAUUCACCCUGACGUCCUUACACACAUGGAGGUGCCAGGAUACUGAGCUUUCCUAUAAGCAGGGCCUCAGCAGAAGUGCCUCCCUCCGAGCCUCCAGGGCCUGAGAGGAGAGCCCC